UACGGAGGGAGCAAGCGUUACUCGGAAUUACUGGGCGUAAAGCGUGCGCAGGCGGCUUUGCAAGACAGAUGUGAAAUCCCCGGGCUUAACCUGGGAACUGCAUUUGUGACUGCAUGGCUCGAGUGCGGCAGAGGGGGAUGGAAUUCCGCGUGUAGCAGUGAAAUGCGUAGAUAUGCGGAGGAACACCGAUGGCGAAGGCAAUCCCCUGGGCCUGCACUGACGCUCAUGCACGAAAGCGUGGGGAGCAAACAG
rnacentral:rRNA from 1 species